rnacentral:tRNA from 1 species
GCGUCGGUGGUAUAACGGUUAGAAUAGCUGCCUUCAAAGCAGUUGACCCGGGUUCGACUCCCGGCCGACGCA